UCAGAGAUCUGGAACGUGCACUGGGAAGGAGAAAAAGCAACCAACCAAAAAGACCUUUUCAGAGAGAAUCCACCCAGGCAGAAGUGGAAAAGUACAAAGAGCUGUAUCUGGUGGAAGCCAAAACCAGAAAAAGCCUCACCAAGAAACUGGAAAGAGCUAAUGAGAGACUUGCAGAGGCCAACACCAAGCUCCUUUGGGAGCACCACAGAAGCAGAUCUGCAGUCCCAAGCAGCGCUGUCAGCGGACAUCUGGCUGCAAGUCCACUUCUGGAUUCAACUGGCCUGGGACUUCUUGGCAUCAGUUUGGGACUGAGCAGAAAUCUGGGUCUCAGAACACCACCCAGACAUCUGUGGUAAAGCCCAAGACUUCUGCUCAUCAGGUUUGUACAAAAUUUCCAGAGUGGUCAAAGGCC